AUUAAGUACGAUUAUCUUUUACCAUAUACUUUUGCUCAUGAUUAGACAAAUACAAGGGAGUUUUUUUGGCCUUUUGCAAAGACUGUUCAUAGAAAAAUAGAAAGUGACGGCAGAUAAGAACCAUUCGGCCCAUCUAGUCUGCCCAAUUUUCUAAAUACUUUCAUUAGUUCCUGGCCCCAUCUUAUAGUUAGGAUAGCUAUAUGCCUAUCCCACGUAUGCUUAAAUUCCUUUACUGUGUUAACCUCUACCACUUCAGCUGGAAGUCUAUUCCAUGUAUC